UUAUUAAUAUAUGAAAUAUUACAGGAGGGGAGGGCAAGACCACCUAAUUGUCAAGGGUACAAAAACCCUUUUCGAUAGGCCAUGGGUGAGUGAAGACUACGAUCUAAAAAAGGUGCAUGUACAUAACAUAUACCAUUCUAAAGCAAUAAAUAGAACCGGAUCAAUAAAAGAGCCAAAGGCACCAUCGUGCCGUGAAAGGUGCAUAUAUUUCUCUAUAGCAAUCAAAGCCACAGGAUCUUUUUCUGAUUUUUGAAUGGAUGACCCAAAAGGUAAAAAGCAGGGGGGUGAUCGCACAAAUUAAAAAACACAUAGGAUUAUGCUUAAUGGCAGUCUCAGUUCAGCUGAAAUUUUGCAGAAAAGAAACUGUCACAAUGUCUUAUGCCAUCAAUUUGUUCUUUAUGUUUCAAGGAAGGAGAAUCUCUAAUCACAUUUGCUUCGAGUGUUUAUAUUAUCUAAGUUGUCAAUUUUUGUUAUUUAAUGUCUUCACUCUCCCAUGGAUUUUUUCUGAUUCUCGGAAGGCGAAUGAGUUCCAACCUUUAUGUGGUAUUGAGUGAAAUUCGCAAAGUGUAUUUACAUUGGGUUAUGCUGUCAAGACCAUUCUCUUCAAGCUUUGGAUGGAAAGAAAUCAAGGUUGUUAUCAAUCUCUGGAGGAACACGAUCCAUUCUAGAACUGGUUGGAAUUAAAGCAGAGGCUAAUAUUUAGUUUCCGAUCAAUAAGGGAAGAACUUAACCACGGUCGAUUCUUAGCAAACAAGCCGGAAAUCAUGGAAGAUCGGUGAGAAUUACCAGCGAGACCUGAAACGAAGAUCCGAGUGAAGAAAAAGUUGCUGUCAGAAGCUGAGAUUGAUUGGCUGCAGUGGAGAAGGAAGACGCGGAAGUUGACUGGUUCCGAUGGAAAAAGAAGAUGACAGCAAUCGUGUGGAUGCUAAGGAGGGAGAAAACGCCGGCAAAUGGUGAUUUACGGUUGUCCGAGAAACUAAUUUGGAAUUGGUGUAAAUCGCAUGGAGAAGAAGAAGAUCUACAGUUACCCGAGAAACUGAUUUGGAAUUGGGAUGAAUCGUGUGGAGAAGAAGAAGAAAUCGCCCAUGUGAUGCUGACAGCAUGGCAGAAGGUGAUAGGAAAGAAGGUUAGGGCAAGAGAAAUAAACCCAAUGGGCUUCAACUUAUUUAAAAUAAAACAAUGGAGGCCCUUAACGCUAUAGAUGAAGUGGGUGGUGAAUUCCAAAAACGGGAGAGAAGAAAAACGUGUCUAAGGGAGGGUUUUGAAAAUGAAAUGGGCGGCAAUAUGAUUUGGGUUUUGUUUGGGCUUAAUCAAGAUUAUGGCCCUAACCCACAGGAGAAGAAAAGUUUGAAGAGAAGAAAAGUUUGAAAAUGGAAGACUUGAUGGUGAUAUGCAAAGGGUUAAGUAUGAUUUGUGGGCUGAAGGAAAAUUAUCCUGAGCUAUAUAGCCUUUAAGCCAAUGCACCUUAUUGAAGCCAAGAGUUUUUAUUGAAGCUGAGGGAAAAGUUCUUUCUCAAACUUGAAGAACAUGUCGCUGGAAAUGGGUGGUGAAUAAAAUAAAAGAGAGAGAGAGAGAGAGGGUCAAUUUUGUGAUUAUAUUUGUAAGCACAACUUGAGGACAAGGUGUUUUGAAGGGUCGGGUAAUGUUAGAUACCUAGAUUAGUAUAGGACAGGGAUAUAAAAAUAAUUAGAUAUGUAGCAGUUAGAUGGUAUACUCCUUGAGAGAGAGGGGAAGCAGAAGGCCAAGUGCUUUUGUUCCAGUUAUUUCAUAUUGUAAUUUCUGUUUAGAUAUUAAUAAAGAAGAAAUAUUAUAUCAA